GACGAACGCUGGCGGCGUGCCUAAUACAUGCAAGUUGAGCGAUGAAGAUUGGUGCUUGCACCAAUUUGAAGAGCAGCGAACGGGUGAGUAACGCGUGGGGAAUCUGCCUUUGAGCGGGGGACAACAUUUGGAAACGAAUGCUAAUACCGCAUAACAACUUUAAACAUAAGUUUUAAGUUUGAAAGGUGCAAUUGCAUCACUCAAAGAUGAUCCCGCGUUGUAUUAGCUAGUUGGUGAGGUAAAGGCUCACCAAGGCGAUGAUACAUAGCCGACCUGAGAGGGUGAUCGGCCACAUUGGGACUGAGACACGGCCCAAACUCCUACGGGAGGCAGCAGUAGGGAAUCUUCGGCAAUGGACGAAAGUCUGACCGAGCAACGCCGCGUGAGUGGAGAAGGUUUUCGGAUCGUAAAACUCUGUUGGUAGAGAAGAACGUUGGUGAGAGUGGAAAGCUCAUCAAGUGACGGUAACUACCCAGAAAGGGACGGCUAACUACGUG
rnacentral:rRNA from 1 species